rnacentral:tmRNA from 1 species
GGGGAUGACAGGAUUCGAUAGACGGAUCAGUUGUCUAUAAGUGCAUACCGAGUUCGCCCACCUCUCGUAAAACAGGGCACACUUUACGUGCAAACGUAGUAAGUCGAGUGAAAAACGCUGUUGCUCGCGCAUUCAGUGUCCCUACAUUCGCAUCCGCUGUCGUUUAAGUACUUCAGCCAUUGGCCUUGCGAUACUCAAUAGCAAGUCGCCGGUGUCACCCUAUUGAGUGUAGGAUUUAAGGCUGUGCCCGUGCCUUUUUUCUGAAAGUACAAUUUCGGGCAACCACUUUGUCUUUUUGCCACGUUUUAAGGCAAAGUGUCACCCAAAUGUGGAUAUGUAUGUAGUAUCGUAUAGGGAACCCGCUCUAGACCCGAGUUCAAUUCUCGGCAUCUCCACGA